GGCAUUCUGGAAGCCAUUGAUGGGAUGCGCUCAAAAACAAUUCUCCCCUCUGGCGUCGUUCUCAGCCAGGUUGCUGCACCGACUCCUACUUGAUCAGCUAUUAGGCCUUUGGAGCCGCACACAAUUUUCAAGAAGCUGAUCCUAUGGACUGUUUACCCACAGGCUCCGCUGUGCAAGUGAUCAAAUAAUUUAUUGUCCAAACUGGGACACUUUUGUGAAUGAACAAUGGAGCACCCUCCUGACACAAAACUCCAGAUAAA